CCUACGGGUGGCAGCAGUGGGGAAUAUUGGGCAAUGGGCGCAAGCCUGACCCAGCAACGCCGCGUGAAGGAAGAAGGCUUUCGGGUUGUAAACAUCUUUUCUGGGGGACGAACAAAUGACGGUACGCCAGGAAUAAGCCACGGCUAACUACGUGCCAGCAGCCGCGGUAAUACGUCGGUGGCAAGCGUUAUCCGGAUGUAUUGGGUGUAAAGGGCGUGUAGGCGGGAAUGCAAGUCAGAUGUGAAAACUAUGGGCUCAACCCAUAGCCUGCCUUUGAAACUGUAUGUCUUGAGUGCUGGAGAGGCAAUCGGAAUUCCGUGUGUAGCGGUGAAAUGCGUAGAUAUACGGAGGAACACCAGUGGCGAAGGCGGAUUGCUGGACAGUAACUGACGCUGAGGCGCGAAAGCGUGGGGAGCAAACAGGAUUAGAUACCCGGGUAGUC
rnacentral:rRNA from 1 species